rnacentral:rRNA from 1 species
CCUACGGGAGGCAGCAGUGAGGAAUAUUGGUCAAUGGCCGAGAGGCUGAACCAGCCAAGUCGCGUGAGGGAAGACGGCCCUACGGGUUGUAAACCUCUUUUGUCGGGGAGCAAAGCGAGUCACGUGUGACUCAUUGAGAGUACCCGAAGAAAAAGCAUCGGCUAACUCAGUGCCAGCAGCAGCGGUAAUACGGAGGAUCCGAGCGUUAUCCGGAUUUAUUGGGUUUAAAGGGUGCGUAGGCGGCCUUUUAAGUCAGCGGUUAAAGUCGGUGGCUCAACCAUAGAAGUGCCGUUGAAACUGGGAGGCUUGAGUAUGGUUGAGGCAGGCGGAAUGCGUGGUGUAGCGGUGAAAUGCUUAGAUAUCACGCAGAACCCCGAUUGCGAAGGCAGCCUGCCAAGCCAUGACUGACGCUGAUGCACGAAAGCGUGGGGAUCAAACAGGAUUAGAUACCCUAGUAGUC